AGGACGAACGCUGGCGGCGUGCCUAAUACAUGCAAGUCGAACGGUCUUUUCUAUGGAAGCUUGCUUCCACUGAAAAGAUAGUGGCGAACGGGUGAGUAACACGUGGGUAACCUGCCCAUAAGAGGGGGAUAACAUCCGGAAACGGGUGCUAAUACCGCAUAGUUUUUCUUGAUCGCAUGAUCGGGAAAGGAAAGACGGCCUUUGUGCUGUCGCUUAUGGAUGGACCCGCGGCGUAUUAGUUAGUUGGUGAGGUAACGGCUCACCAAGACGAUGAUACGUAGCCGACCUGAGGGGGUGACCGGCCACAUUGGGACUGAGACACGGCCCAAACUCCUACGGGAGGCAGCAGUAGGGAAUCUUCCGCAAUGGACGAAAGUCUGACGGAGCAACGCCGCGUGAGUGAAAGAAGGUUUUCGGAUCGUAAAACUCUGUUGUCAGAGAAGAACAAGUUGGAGAGUAACUGCUCCAGCCUUGACGGUAUCUGACCAGAAAGCCACGGCUAACUACGUGCCAGCCGCCGC
rnacentral:rRNA from 1 species